GCGGAGGAAAAGAAACCAACAGGGAUUGCCCUAGUAACGGCGAGUGAAGCGGCAUCAGCUCAAAUUUGAAAUCUGGCUCUUUCAGGGUCCGAGUUGUAAUUUGCAGAGGGCGCUUUGGCGUUGGCAGCGGUCCAAGUUCCUUGGAACAGGACGUCACAGAGGGUGAGAAUCCCGUACGUGGUCGCUGGCCUUCGCCGUGUAAAGCCCCUUCGACGAGUCGAGUUGUUUGGGAAUGCAGCUCUAAAUGGGAGGUAAAUUUCUUCUAAAGCUAAAUACUGGCCAGAGACCGAUAGCGCACAAGUAGAGUGAUCGAAAGAUGAAAAGCACUUUGGAAAGAGAGUCAAAUAGCACGUGAAAUUGUUGAAAGGGAAGCGCUUGCAGCCAGACUUGCCUGUAGUUGCUCAUCCGGGCUUUUGCCCGGUGCACUCUUCUGCGGGCAGGCCAGCAUCAGUCUGGGCGGUUGGAUAAAGGCCUCUGUCAUGUACCUCCUUUCGGGGAGGCCUUAUAGGGGAGGCGUAAUGCAACCAGCCUGGACUGAGGUCCGCGCAUCUGCUAGGAUGCUGGCGUAAUGGCUGUAAGCGGCCCGUCUUGAAACACGGACCAAGGAGUCUAACAUCUAUGCGAGUGUUUGGGUGUCAAGCCCGAGCGCGUAAUGAAAGUGAACGGAGGUGGGAUCCCUUUAGGGUGCACCAUCGACCGAUCCUGAUGUCUUCGGAUGGAUUUGAGUAAGAGCAUGGCUGUUGGGACCCGAAAGAUGGUGAACUAUGCUUGAAUAGGGUGAAGCCAGAGGAAACUCUGGUGGAGGCUCGCAGCGGUUCUGACGUGCAAAUCGAUCGUCAAA
rnacentral:sRNA from 1 species